rnacentral:rRNA from 1 species
AUACGGAGGGUGCAAGCGUUAUCCGGAAUCAUUGGGUUUAAAGGGUCCGUAGGCGGACUAAUAAGUCAGGGGUGAAAUCCCACAGCUUAACUGUGGAACUGCCUUUGAUACUGUUAGUCUUGAGUUAUAUGGAAGUAGAUAGAAUGUGUAGUGUAGCGGUGAAAUGCUUAGAGAUUACACAGAAUACCGAUUGCGAAGGCAGUCUACUACAUAUAUACUGACGCUAAUGGACGAAAGCGUGGGGAGCAAACAGGAUUAGAAACCCUAGUAGUCC